UGGCGGCCGAGCAGGGCCGGCGGCUGUGGUGGCUGCGGCUGCACCCGGAGACGGCAGUGAUGGCGGUAGUGGUGGGCGGCGGGGGCCUGUGACCGGGAGCCGCCCCGGGACCCGGGCACCAUGAGCCAAGGCCCCCCCACAGGGGAGAGCAGCGAGCCCGAAGCGAAGGUCCUCCACACUAAGCGGCUUUACCGGGCUGUGGUGGAGGCUGUGCAUCGACUUGAUCUCAUACUUUGCAACAAAACCGCUUAUCAAGAAGUAUUCAAACCAGAGAACAUUAGCCUGAGGAACAAGCUUCGUGAACUCUGCGUCAAGCUUAUGUUCCUGCACCCAGUGGACUAUGGGAGGAAGGCUGAGGAGCUGCUGUGGAGAAAGGUAUACUAUGAAGUUAUCCAGCUUAUCAAGACUAACAAAAAGCAUAUCCACAGCCGGAGCACCUUGGAAUGUGCCUACAGGACACAUUUGGUUGCUGGUAUUGGCUUCUACCAGCAUCUCCUUCUCUACAUUCAGUCCCACUACCAGCUUGAGCUGCAGUGCUGCAUCGACUGGACCCAUGUCACCGACCCCCUCAUAGGAUGCAAGAAGCCAGUGUCGGCCUCGGGGAAGGAGAUGGACUGGGCACAGAUGGCAUGCCACCGAUGUCUAGUGUACCUGGGGGAUUUGUCGCGAUAUCAGAAUGAAUUAGCUGGUGUAGACACUGAGCUGCUAGCUGAAAGAUUUUACUAUCAAGCCCUGUCAGUAGCUCCCCAGAUUGGAAUGCCCUUUAACCAGUUGGGCACCCUUGCGGGCAGCAAGUACUAUAAUGUGGAAGCCAUGUAUUGCUACCUGCGCUGCAUCCAGUCAGAAGUUUCCUUUGAAGGGGCUUAUGGAAACCUCAAGCGGCUGUAUGACAAAGCAGCCAAAAUGUACCACCAGCUGAAGAAGUGUGAGGCUCGGAAACUCUCUCCUAGCAAGAAACGAUGUAAAGACAUUAAGAGGUUGCUGGUGAACUUUAUGUACCUGCAAAGCCUCCUGCAGCCAAAAAGCAGCUCCGUGGACUCAGAGCUGACAUCACUUUGCCAGUCAGUCCUGGAGGAUUUCAACCUCUGUCUUUUCUACCUGCCCUCCUCACCCAACCUCAGCCUGGCCAGUGAGGAUGAGGAGGAGUAUGAGAGUGGAUAUGCUUUCCUCCCAGACCUUCUCAUCUUUCAGAUGAUCAUCAUCUGCCUUAUGGGUGUGCAUAGUUUGAAGAGAGCAGGCUCCAAGCAGUACAGUGCAGCCAUUGCCUUCACCCUGGCCCUCUUCUCCCAUCUUGUCAACCAUGUCAACAUACGGCUGCAGUCAGAGCUAGAAGAGGGUGAGAACCCUGUUCCGGCGUUCCAGAGCGAUGGCACAGAUGAACCGGAGUCCAAGGAACCCUUAGAGAAGGAGGAGCCCGAUCCUGAGCCUCCUCCCACAGCCCCUCAAACAGGUGAGGUCAGAAAGAGCCGGAAGUUCUCCCGCCUCUCUUGCCUCCGCCGCCGCCGUCACCCACCCAAAGCUGGUGAUGACAGUGACCUGAGUGAAGGCUUCGAAUCGGACUCGAGCCAUGACUCAGCCCGGGCCAGCGAGGGCUCGGACAGUGCUUCCGACAAGAGUCUUGAAGGUGGGGGGACGGCCUUUGAUGCCGAGACAGACUCGGAAAUGAACAGCCAAGAGUCCCGUUCAGACCUAGAAGAUAUGGAAGAUGAAGAGGGGACACGGUCCCCAGCCCUGGAACCUUCUCGGGUCAAAUCAGAGGCUCCUGAGGCCCUCAAUGGCCCACUGGCCCCCAAUGAGGCCAGCCUUGCCAGCAAUCUGCAAGCCAUGUCCACCCAGAUGUUUCAAACCAAACGCUGUUUUCGACUGGCCCCCACCUUCAGCAACUUGCUCCUCCAGCCCAGCACCGACCCGCACACCUUGGAUGGCCAAAGGCCCUGUGUCAAUGGGGAUGUGGACAAACCCUCAGAGCCAGCCUCUGAGGAAGGCUCAGAGUCGGAAGGGAGCGAGUCCAGUGGGCGCUCUUGCCGGAAUGAGCGCAGUGUCCAGGAGAAGCUGCAAGUCCUGAUGGCUGAAGGGCUGCUUCCCGCAGUGAAAGUUUUCCUGGACUGGCUGCGGACCAACCCUGACCUCAUCAUCGUGUGUGCGCAGAGCUCUCAAAGUCUGUGGAACCGCCUGUCUGUGUUGCUGAAUCUUUUGCCAGCUGCUGGCGAACUCCAAGAGUCUGGCCUGGCCCUGUGUCCUGAGGUCCAAGAUCUUCUGGACGGUUGUGAACUGCCUGACCUGCCCUCUGGUUUGCUGCUUCCAGAGGACAUGGCACUUCGUAACCUGCCACCCCUCCGGGCUGCCCACAGGCGCUUUAACUUUGACACAGAUCGGCCCCUGCUCAGCACCUUAGAGGAGUCGGUCGUACGCAUCUGCUGCAUUCGCAGCUUUGGCCACUUCGUUGCCCGCCUGCAAGGCAGCAUCCUGCAGUUCAACCCUGAGGUCGGCAUCUUCGUCAGCAUUGCUCAGUCUGAGCAGGAGAGCCUGCUGCAGCAGGCCCAGGCUCAGUUCCGCAUGGCCCAGGAAGAAGCUCGACGGAACAGGCUAAUGAGAGACAUGGCUCAGCUACGGCUUCAGCUUGAGGUCUCUCAACUGGAGGGGAGCCUGCAGCAGCCCAAGGCCCAGUCAGCAAUGUCUCCAUACCUCGUCCCUGACACCCAGGCCCUCUGCCACCACCUCCCUGUCAUCCGCCAGCUUGCUACCAGUGGCCGCUUCAUUGUCAUCAUCCCAAGGACAGUGAUUGAUGGCCUGGAUUUGCUGAAGAAGGAGCACCCAGGCGCCCGGGAUGGGAUCCGAUACCUGGAGGCAGAGUUUAAGAAAGGAAAUAGGUACAUUCGCUGCCAGAAAGAGGUGGGAAAGAGCUUUGAGCGCCAUAAGCUGAAGAGGCAGGAUGCAAAUGCCUGGACUCUCUAUAAGAUUCUGGACAGCUGCAAACAGCUGACUCUGGCCCAGGGGGCGGGUGAGGAGGACCCAAGUGGCAUGGUGACCAUCGUCACAGGUCUCCAACUGGACAACCCGAGCGCACUGUCAGGCCCUAUGCAGGCAGCUUUGCAAGCCGCUGCACACGCCAGUGUGGACAUCAAGAAUGUUCUGGACUUCUACAAGCAGUGGAAGGAGAUUGGUUGAGACUGACCCCUAGGCCCUGCAGUGGGGCUGACUCCAGAUCUCUCCUGCCCUCCCUGGCAGCCAGGACCACCACCUGUAGUCACCCCACCACAUGCAGACUCACGCACGCACACAGGAAGGAAGCCCAGCUGUGCAGAGGCUGCAGGGAGGGCCCAGGAGCCGACUGGGAGGGCGGGGUCCCCCUGUUGCCAAGACGAUGUGAGGAAAGUGAGGAAAGUGCUUGGAGCAGGAGAGCCUGAGGGCCCUUAGCCAGCCUUCCCACCUCAGCUCCCCUGCUGUCCCCAGGGGCGGGUAGUAGGCAUGGUUGUCUGUGUUUCAUUGGAAUGGUUCCUGGACCACCAGGGGAAGGGACAGCAGAAAGGGUGCAGGGUGGGUGGGGCCGGGAGUUUGGGGCCUACAAGCCUUGGGGGAAAAGUGAGGUAAUAGCAGGUGUCCAGGUGGUUCUCUGCACACCCUUCCCUUCCUCCAGGACCACCCAUCCUCUUCUCAUCUCCCUUUGCGGAGGUCGGGCAGCUCUGGAGUCCUGGGGACUAAGAGAAGAGGGACCUGGAGCGGCUUGGAGCUGCCUGCAUGAUAGUAGGGCCCGGGCUUGCAUCCCCUCCUGCUCUUGCAGGGGCUGCACACCCACUUGCCCCUUCUGCUUUUUGUGCCCCUCUGUCGGCUUCCAGGGAAGGGAGCAGGCCCCCACCCAUGGCUGCAGGCAGUCUGGCCUGAUGCCAGUGAGGAUUCCUUGCCCACCGGCCCCACAAUCACCGUGCUUUGUGCUCUUGGCUGCUAUGCGGGGAAAGUGGGAUGCCAGUAAGAGGAAAGGGGGUGCUGUUUGAAGGUGCCACCCCCUUGCUCACUAGGGAGGCACCUGCGUAUGUGUAGGUGGCAGAAAGGAGAGGCCCCUUGAAGCUGCCCAGACAGGAGCCCUCUGUCCUGAUGAACUUGUCCACUUUUGCCCUCCCCAGGACUGAAGGCCUGGCAGGGCUGAGCAUGGGGCUAGCUUUUGGAGUGCCAAUGUGAAUUGUGGGAGCAGAGAUCAUGAAUAGUUCAGGGCACUGAAUGGAGCCGCGAGAGCAGGUCCGCGUGUGGGAGGCUUUGGGCAGGACAGUCGGCCCCUCCCAUCAGUGUGAAGUAUAGCUCGGGUUGGGGGCGUCUCAGCUCUGCUGUCCCCUACCCCAGAGCUGGCCUAGCUUCCCAAGCUGUUCUCAGGGGAGAGCAGGCUCCCUGCCUCCUUCCUCUAAGACAGCAAGUCUGGGACAAACUGGGGCGAGUGGGUCAUGACCCCCACUCCUAGUCCCUGGCAGAGAUUUAAUAAAGAUUCCCCCCGCCAAAGCCCAUGUCUCUCUCCUGGUGCCUUUUUGUACAGUUUUGUUGGGACAUUGGCAGUUAUUUGGGAAGGUUUCUUUGACGUGGACUCAUGAAGGCAAGAAGCCCCAGAGAGAGUUGUGUGGUGGACGUUGUUACCUUUAUUCCGCCUGCAUGCUGAGAGGGUGCCUUCCAAAGGAGACUGGCACCAUCAGUGUCCGGGGAGUAAACAUGCCUG